rnacentral:rRNA from 1 species
UACGGGGGGGGCAAGCGUUGUUCGGAAUUACUGGGCGUAAAGCGCACGUAGGCGGCUUUGUAAGUUAGAGGUGAAAGCCCGGGGCUCAACCCCGGAAUUGCCUUUAAGACUGCAUCGCUUGAAUCCGGGAGAGGUGAGUGGAAUUCCGAGUGUAGAGGUGAAAUUCGUAGAUAUUCGCAAGAACACCAGUGGCGAAGGCGGCUCACUGGCCCGGAACUGACGCUGAGACGCGAAAGCGUGGGGAGCAAACAGG